GAACCUGCGGAAGGAUCAUUGUCGAAAUCCCAAAGGAAAGACACGCGAAYGAGUUAAAGUAACCAAUGGGGGCGGUAUGAUGUGUGUCCUCUAGAYACCCUUCACCCUUCCAACUUGCAGGGCUGGUGCCGUUAUGAGGCGGCAUGCGCGGCUGGAAUGGCUCGUCUGUCGACCGCAGGUGCCAUGCCAUGCAAGCUCUUCACAAUCUGGGCGUGGUAUGCGCCAAGGAGAAUGGACAGAGUAGUCCUUGCCAUCCCUAGGAAGUUGUCGCAUAAGCAGCUGUGGGAUGGUGAUAUGCCGUCAUUGGCAAAGAUGACUCUCGGCAACGGAUAUCUCGGCUCUCGCAUCGAUGAAGAACGUAGCGAAAUGCGAUACUUGGUGUGAAUUGCAGAAUCCCGUGAACCAUCGAGUCUUUGAACGCAAGUUGCGCCCGAGGCCAUUACGGUCGAGGGCACGUCUGUCUGGGCGUCGCACGUUGCGUCACCUGCCGCCAUCGUCCUUGGACGAGGCGCAGGUGGAUUAUGGCCUCCCGUGCCUCGUUUUGGUUCGCGGUUGGCCAAAAUGUGAAGUUGGGGCGACGGAAGCCGUGACAACGGGUGGUUAGCGAGCCUUCAAGGGCACGCCGCUGCGUCGACUUGUCGCGUUUCUUCUUUUGCCGUACUUGCUUGUUUGUUAGCCAUAUUCAUGUCUCGCACAUGCGUUGGUGUUCGGCGACCCCAGAUCAGGCGGGAUCACCCGCUGAGUUUAAGCAUAUCAAUAAGCGG
rnacentral:rRNA from 1 species